rnacentral:rRNA from 1 species
CGCGUAGGUGGUAGUGUAAGUCUGGGGUGGAAUCCCGGGGCCUAACCCUGGAAUUGCCUUGGAAACUGCAUUACUUGAGUCAGUGAGGGGAGGGUAGAAUUCCUGGUGUAGCGGUGAAAUGCGUAGAUAUCAGGAGGAAGGCCUGUGGCGAAGGCGGCCCUCUGGCGCUGGACUGACACUGAGGCGCGAAAGCGUGGGGAGCAAACAGGAUUAGAUACCCUGGUAGUCCACGCCCUAAACGGUGGGCACUAGGUGUAGGGCUCGUAAGGGUUCUGUGCCGAAGGGAAACCAUUAAGUGCCCCCGCCUGGGGGAGUACGGCCGCAAGGUUGAA